UCGGCGUUCAGAGUCGCGUUGUUGUUUGUUUGAAUACUUGUUAUAGAUUCGGCCGUAAAUCACCAAUUUUAUUCUAAUAACAUCUGCAAUUAUUCUGUUGGAUUAAUUUCAUGGUUAAUGGUGGAUCUUUUACAUUUGAAAAUUGAUGUUAUGUCUUAAAAUCAAUGGGGAUCUAAAGGCUAAAAUAUUUACGGAGUUGUGCUGUUGUUUCCAUAUACAAGCACGUCAUUAAUGCACUUUCAUUGUUUAUUUUGCUGUUGAAAUGUGUCGGCGAAUGUUUUUAAAUGUAUUUACAAUAAGUCAAGUGAAGUGUGCAUUACACAAGAUAAGAAGAACGUGUGAUGGAACCAGGCCCGGUUCCUGCAGGUGCAAAAGGGUGGGCUAGAUAUCAUGGGUCUGGCUGAUGUUGAAAGUGUCUCGGUAUUGAACUGCACUGAAAAUGAAAUAACAAUGGAAUGGAAUAAAGUGCACAACAUCAACAAUUAUGUUUAAGUGAUAUUGACUGAUAACAUAAAGAGUUUCAUCAGAGGGUCUGAUAACGUUUCCGUAGUCAGACAAACGGUUUCCUCUCUCUAUCCUGGACGGAUACACUACUUUAUGCUCCACGCUGUAUUAAACAGAGAAAUGAGUGCUGGAUAUCUUUUCCAUGCAGCUACAGCUCCCCAAAAUUUGAACGAUGUGACUGUACAACGUCGAAAGGAUACAAGUAUAACGCUGAAGUUCUGCGACACAAAGCGUGUCAUAGGAAACAGCCAUGUUUAUAAUCUAAAAUACGGAGAAAUCGAGGCUUAAUUAUUAUGGUGUCCUCGGUCAUUAUGGUCCAGAUACUGAAUAUCUCUUAGAUAAUUAUUUUGAGCAUUAUUAUGAAGACACGUAUACAGUAACAUCUCUCUCUCCUGGAACCAAAUACAACUUUACUCUCUACUCAGUUUUGAAUGGUGUGAGGAGCCGUGGAUAUCAGUUCACUGCCGAGACCAGCAAGUCAUAUUAUAAAUAUAUCCUCCACAUUUGUCAAG